GACAGAGGGGGCAAGCGUUGCUCGGAAUCACUGGGCGUAAAGGGCGCGUAGGCGGGAUGGCAAGUCAGUCGUGAAAUCUCUCGGCUCAACCGAGAAACGUCGGCUGAUACUGCCGUUCUUGAGGGAUGCAGAGGAGACUGGAAUUCCCGGUGUAGCGGUGAGAUGUGUAGAGAUCGGGAGGAACACCGGUGGCGAAGGCGGGUCUCUGGGCAUUUCCUGACGCUGAGGCGCGAAAGCGUGGGGAGCAAACGGG
rnacentral:rRNA from 1 species